rnacentral:lncRNA from 1 species
UGUCUCAGCCCAAGGCCUCAAUUUGAGCCAUCAAGGCUCCAAUAGCAUCAUUUCCCAAAGAUUGGGAAGUAGUACCCCCGGAUUCCAUGGAAAAAUGUACCUACAAAGUGCAAAAAAACAGCAAGCAAAACAACCUACAAAACAAACAAAUGAGUUAGUUCAAAAGCCUCACUUCACUCACACUCAACCUCACCUCACACUUGGUUUCACAAGUGUUAGAGAAUCGGCAAUACUUGGCAAGUUACUUGAGAGGUGAGAAGCUUUGGAUCGGAA